GGCCCAUUAGUCUAAUCGGUCAGGACGCAGGCCUCUCAAGCCUGUAGAACGGGUUCGAAUCCCGUAUGGGCCACCA
rnacentral:tRNA from 1 species